rnacentral:rRNA from 1 species
GAUGAACGCUGGCGGCGUGCUUAACACAUGCAAGUCGAGCGAGAGAGUUCUUCGGAACAAUCUAGCGGCGGACGGGUGAGUAACACGUGGGCAACCUGCCUCAUAGAGGGGAAUAGCCUUCCGAAAGGAAGAUUAAUACCGCAUAACAUCGUUGAAGGGCAUCCUUCGAUGAUCAAAGGAGUAAUCCGCUAUGAGAUGGGCCCGCGGCGCAUUAGCUAGUUGGUGAGGUAACGGCUCACCAAGGCGACGAUGCGUAGCCGACCUGAGGGGGUGAUCGGGCAAAUUGGGACUGAGACACGGCCCAGACUCCGACGGGAGGCAGCAGUGGGGAAUAUUGCACAAUGGGGGAAACCCUGAUGCAGCAACGCCGCGUGAGUGAUGACGGCCUUCGGGUUGUAAAGCUCUGUCUUUGGGGACGAUAAUGACGGUACCCGAGGAGGAAGUCACGGCUAACUACGUGCCAGCCGCCGCCGUAAUAC